UACGGAGGGGGCUAGCGUUGUUCGGAAUUACUGGGCGUAAAGGGCGCGUAGGCGGUGCGAUAAGUCAGGCGUGAAAGGCCCGGGCUCAACCCGGGGACUGCGCUUGAUACUGUUGCGCUGUGAGUCCGGGAGAGGAUGGCGGAAUUCCCAGUGUAGAGGUGAAAUUCGUAGAUAUUGGGAAGAACACCGGUGGCGAAGGCGGCCAUCUGGACCGGCACUGACGCUGAGGCGCGAAAGCGUGGGGAGCAAGCAGG
rnacentral:rRNA from 1 species